GCGGGGAUAGCUCAGUGCGAGAGCGUUAGACUGAUGAUCACGUGUUCGAUCCAUGUUCACCGCA
rnacentral:tRNA from 1 species